rnacentral:ncRNA from 1 species
AAACCCUGAGGACGGAACGGGCAGCCGUCGCCCCUCGCAAGAGGUUAGGAGAUGCGGGAAGGUCGCCCCGCCUGGUUUU